GGAGGAUGCGAGCGUUAUCCGGAUUUAUUGGGUUUAAAGGGUGCGUAGGCGGAACAUUAAGUCAGCGGUAAAAUCGAGGGGCUCAACCCCUUUAAGCCGUUGAAACUGGUGAUCUUGAGUGGGCGAGAAGUAUGCGGAAUGCGUGGUGUAGCGGUGAAAUGCAUAGAUAUCACGCAGAACUCCGAUUGCGAAGGCAGCAUACCGGCGCCCGACUGACGCUGAGGCACGAAAGCGUGGGGAUCGAAC
rnacentral:rRNA from 1 species